rnacentral:rRNA from 1 species
CCCUUAGAUGUUCUGGGCCGCACGCGCGCUACACUGAUGCAUUCAACAAGCCUAGCCUUGACCGAGAGGUCCGGGUAAUCUUUGAAACUGCAUCGUGAUGGGGCUAGAUUAUUGCAAUUAUUAAUCUUCAACGAGGAAUGCCUAGUAAGCGUGAUUCAUCAAAUCGCGUUGAUUACGUCCCUGCCCUUUGUACACACCGCCCGUCGCUACUACCGAUUGAACGUUUUAGUGAGGCAUUUGGACCGACGCAUCUCAGUUUAACCGCUGGUUUGUGUUGGAAAGACUUCCAAACUUGAGCGUUUAGAGGAAGUAAAAGUCGUAACA